rnacentral:rRNA from 1 species
CACGUAGGGGGCAAGCGUUGUCCGGAUUUAUUGGGCGUAAAGAGCUCGUAGGCGGUUCGGUAAGUCGGGUGUGAAACCUCCAGGCUCAACCUGGAGACGCCACCCGAUACUGCUGUGACUAGAGUCCGGUAGGGGAGCGUGGAAUUCCUGGUGUAGCGGUGAAAUGCGCAGAUAUCAGGAGGAACACCGAUGGCGAAGGCAGCUCGCUGGGACGGUACUGACGCUGAGGAGCGAAAGCGUGGGGAGCGAACAGG